rnacentral:rRNA from 1 species
UACGGAGGGUGCAAGCGUUGUUCGGAAUUAUUGGGCGUAAAGCGCGUGUAGGUGGAUCGCUAAGUCUGGUGUGAAAUCCCUCGGCUUAACUGAGGACGUGCAUCGGAUACUGGCGACCUUGAGUCCUGGAGAGGAUAGCGGAAUUCCCAGUGUAGAGGUGAAAUUCGUAGAUAUUGGGAGGAACACCGGUGGCGAAGGCGGCUAUCUGGACAGUGACUGACACUGAGACGCGAAAGCACGGGUAGCAAACAGG